rnacentral:lncRNA from 1 species
CGCCUCCUGGGCUCCCAACGGCUGCUUUCGACGUUGUGCUCCACCCUUUCCGGGCGGGGCGGAAAAAAUACUUCCCGUCUCUCCUUUCCGCCUAGUGGCUCUGUCAAAGGUCGAGUCAGUGACGUCAAAGAGCCUGGACCAAUCAGAGCACACCGGACUGCGUUUUUUUUCCGAACGCCGGCAGCAGGGUCAGAAGGGAGGUGGUCGCCCUCCGUCGUGGCCUGGCGUGGAUUCCGAGCGUUGGUGUCUGGCGGUUUCCGACCGUUGGUGUCUGGCACGCGCCACCCCGAUGUACCAGACAAGAAGACAAGAAAAUGAUUUGAGGACAGCUUCAAUCGCGGUGUGAAGAAGAAAGCAGCAAAACGACCACUGAAAACAACGCCGGUGGCAAAACAUCCAAAGAAAGGGUCCCAAGCGGUACAUCGUCAUAGCUGGAAACAGUCAGAGCCACCAGCCAAUGAUCUUUUCAAUGCUGCGAAAGCUGCCGAAAGUGACAUGCAGAGGCGGAUUUCCCUGACUGAAGACCAUGUUGCAGGCCCACAGCUGCCUACAGGCCCUCUGGGCAACCGUCCCAAAAUAUGGCAAAGAAACCUAUUCUGAGGUUAAAUAUUUUGGUUUCUUUCAGUGGGAGGCAAGGGUCUUCCGGACUAGGGAGGUAGAUGUGCAGCAGCCUCAGGUGCUCUAGGUGCUUUGCAGCUACGCUGGCCAGGCCACCUGAGGUAGGUCCCCUUUGCACCAGUCUCACACCCUGCUGGGGGACAGUAGUGGAGACAGCAGUAAAAGCAGGUCUAAGGCAGGUGUGGAGAUUAGUACAGGUGGCCUGGGCAAAGGGCAAAGGGUGAAGAGAAUGUUGGGAGCCAUGGGUGACUGGCUGCGGGCAUAGGCACCAUGAAGGCUACUAUGGGCUGCAGGGUGUGGAUGAGGGGACAGAGUUUGCCCCAGAGACCAAGUUGGUUUGUGUCAAACACCACAGGAUUUUUAUU